AACCAUAGAAACCUGCGGAGUACCUGCGGAAGGAUCAUUACCGAGUGAGGGCCCUCCGGGUCCAACCUCCCACCCGUGUUUAACGAACCUUGUUGCUUCGGCGGGCCCGCCUCACGGCCGCCGGGGGGCACCCCGCCCCCGGGCCCGCGCCCGCCGAAGACACCUGUGAACGCUGUCUGAAGUUGCAGUCUGAGACACUAGCUCAAUCAGUUAAAACUUUUAACAACGGAUCUCAGAUCG
rnacentral:misc_RNA from 1 species